GACACAAAAUGGACGUGCAGGAUUCCAUGGUUGCUAUGGUCCUUCCGAUGAUUCUAUGGAAUCCUCAUUUGAACAUAAACAACCACUCAAGCAGUCACAAAAAGUGUUUCCUCAAGUUCAGCUCAACGAUUUCUUGCUAACAGCCUUUUCUACUGCGGAUUUCUUCCUUCAUUACAAGAACUAAAGAGUCACAGAGACUGACCAGAGCGACUAAAGUAACUUUCAUCAUGGAAAAUUGUGACGUUCCCGUUCUCCUGACCGACAACCAGACAGGAAGGAGAACCUCUGCUCGCCAGGCAGAGAGCGCGUCGAGGCCCUCAGCCUGGAGACAGUGUUCAUGCUGCAGGGACAAGCAGGGGCCGACUCUAAAGAGAAAGCGCCGGCCCUCUGCUGCUCCCGGAGACCUUCACCAGAAGAGGAAGCGCACCUCCGGAG